UACGGAAGGUCCGGGCGUUAUCCGGAUUUAUUGGGUUUAAAGGGAGCGCAGGCUGGAGAUUAAGCGUGACGUGAAAUGCCGCGGCUCAACCGUGGAAGUGCGUCGCGAACUGGUUUUCUUGAGUGUGCACGAGGAAGGCGGAAUUCGUGGUGUAGCGGUGAAAUGCUUAGAUAUCACGAAGAACCCCGAUUGCGAGGGCAGCCCUCCAGGGCAUUACUGACGCUAAAGCUCGAAGGUGCGGGUAUCGAAC
rnacentral:rRNA from 1 species